rnacentral:lncRNA from 1 species
AUAUAUAUAUAUAUAUAUAUAUAGGCCAUGGCUACUAUACUAUUAUGAGUAUUGGAGCCCUCGUACUCAUAAGUUGUUUUCAAUGAUGGAGCUUCCGUAUCGACAAUCCACUCCGUUAAAUAUGAUCUAAAGUAUUUGAAACUUUUAGAAAAUAAAUUUCAUAAAUUUUCGAAAUCAUAAUAAAGUCCAUCAAGUGGGCAUAAAAUGAAUGGUCAAAAGCGAACGACGUCCUAAAAAAUGAUGAUCGGAUCCUUCAAUUCAAGAUCGGAGUUAUUGAUAUUAAUCUAUGCAGUGAAUAGAAUUUUCUAUCAAAAAAUCAACAAAUUUUGAUUCUUUUACACCGUUAAACUAGCAAGUAUCCCAUACCGGCCGUUAAAAAUUGUCAAAUUUGUGACCUCUUGAUCGUAAGGUAAAUGAUAUCGAAAAAUUAUAAAAUUUGAUUUCUAGAAGUUUUAAAUGCUGUAAACAACGUUUAAUGGUGUGGAUCGUCGAUUCGGAAGCUCUAUCAUCGAAAACAACUUAUGAGUAUGAGGGCGAUCGUACUCAUAAUAGUAUAGUAGCCGGACUCAUAUAUAUAGAGCAGGGCUGCUGUCCUCUCAGGAGCACGGAGGCCUCUGUGCUCCUGAGCCGUUUUCGAUGACGAAAUUUUCGAAUCGACGAUCGGCUCCGUUAGACUUGAUCUAGCGCAUUUGAAGUUUCUAGAAAAUAAUUUUUGCGAUUUUUCGAUAUCAUUUACCUAGUGAUUGAAAGGAUUCAAAAUCUAUAAUUUUUAAUGGUUGAUAUCUGCCGUUUUCAAGUUUAACGGUGUAAAAGUAUUCAAAUCAGAUGAAAUUUUGAUAGAAAAUUCUUUAUACUAUUUACAACAAGAUCUAUAUUUCUGAUCGAAAAUUUUAGUGCUAUAUCACCACUUUUUAUAGGAUUUUUAUUUUCAGCCGUUAAAAAUUAUUGAUUUUGAAUCAUUUCAAUUGCUAGGUAAAUGAUAUCGAAAAAUCGCAAAAAU